AUUUUGCAUACUGGCAGCGACAAGUUGAGACUUGUUCAACUUGACACAGUCCUGUGGUCAUAGCGAAUCUUUCUAAAGCUCUGAUCAGUCAAGAAGGGGGUUGUAUCAAUCCUCAGAACCCUGAGUGGAACUUUCUAAAGGAUUUAUUAGGAGAAAAACCUUCCCGGAAGCUGCAGAAGGACAAAUACAGAAUCUGUGUGUGGGAGAAACCUCGUGGCCUGGUCUCCAUUAUUUGAGAUGAGUUACAUCUUGGAGGCCUGAUCUUUUGGCCAGAAGGAGAUUAAAAGGAUGCCCCUCAAGAUGGCUGUGCCUGUCAGCUGCAUGGAGCUUCGUUCAAGUAUUUUCUGAGCCUGAUGGAUUUACAGUGAUCUUCAGUGGUUUGGGGAAUAACGCUGGUGGAACCAUGCACUGGAAUGACACACGUCCGGCACAUUUCAGGAUACUAAAAGUGGUUUUAAAGGAGGCCCUGGCUGAAUGCCUCAUGGAUUCUUACAGCUUGGAUGUCCAUGGGGGACGAAGGACCGCAGCUGGCUGUGAGGGUUGAGAUCUCUGUUUACUUAGAUCUCUGCCAACUUCCUUUGGGUCUCCCUAUGGAAUAU
rnacentral:lncRNA from 1 species